ACAUGCAAGUCGAGCGGACGGAUGGGAGCUUGCUCCCUGAAGUCAGCGGCGGACGGGUGAGUAACACGUGGGCAACCUGCCUGUAAGACUGGGAUAACUCCGGGAAACCGGGGCUAAUACCGGAUAACUCUUUUCCUCACAUGAGGAAAAGCUGAAAGAUGGUUUCGGCUAUCACUUACAGAUGGGCCCGCGGCGCAUUAGCUAGUUGGUGAGGUAACGGCUCACCAAGGCCACGAUGCGUAGCCGACCUGAGAGGGUGAUCGGCCACACUGGGACUGAGACACGGCCCAGACUCCUACGGGAGGCAGCAGUAGGGAAUCUUCCGCAAUGGACGAAAGUCUGACGGAGCAACGCCGCGUGAGUGAUGAAGGUUUUCGGAUCGUAAAACUCUGUUGGUCUAGGGAAGAACAAGUACCGGAGUAACUGGCGGUAGCUUGACGGUACCUGACCAGAAAGCCACGGGUAACUACGUGCCAGCAGACGCGGCUAAUACGUAGUGUGGGAAGCGUUGUCCGGAAUUAUUGGGCGUAAAGCGCGCGCAGGCGG
rnacentral:rRNA from 1 species